UUUACUUUUCUUCCCCCCACCAGCCUUCCCUUCCCGAAUCUUCUUCCCCCACUUCUGACUCUCUCUCUCUCUCUCUCACACACACACACACCUCUAUCUUUUUUAAUCUAUUUUUCUUCGGAAACCAGAGGUCUCUCUCUCUGUCCUCACGAUUCUUCAACCAUGUCUCUCAAAUCUCCUCUCUACAGACGUUUCCCGUGUUUGGUCUCAAAGAAAAUGAAGAAAACUGCAACCUAGAUCAGCCAACGAAGAACACGGUUGUUCUUCAUGAGAAAGAUCGUGUAUAUGUUAACAAUCUGCACCUUGUGAUGUAAUCUGGGCUAAGGGAAAUACAAAUGAACGAUGGAAGCAGUAACAGCAGUGCACAGAGGGUGUUCUUGUCUCUGGCUUUGUUCUUGUUUGGCUUUCUUGUAUAUGGAUAUAGUGUUUUAGUGAUUUUGUAUAAAUUUUGAAAUCUUAGAAAUCUUCCUCCUCAAAUCGGAGGGGUUGAUUUUUUUUCUUUUUUAAAUCUGGGUGUAAUGUUCUUUAAUGAAGAAUUUUUGAAGUGUGAAUUGA